rnacentral:lncRNA from 1 species
UAUAUUUAAUCUGUAUAUAAACAUUAUAAUAAUAUAUAAAAUAUAUUAAUUAUUAUAUAUUAAUAUUAUAUAAUAAAAUAUAUUAAAUAGUUUUUUAUCUAUUUUUUUUCCUUCCAACCAAACAAGCUUCAUGGAAAACUAUUUUUUUUUCCAACAAACCAAACACUAACGACGUAAAAUUAUUUUUCCACCGAAAAUUUCUUUUCCACCAAAAUUUUUUUUUCCACAGUUUUACGUGGAACCAAACACACCCUAAGCGAUCUGCAGUUGUGUAUUUUUUUUUUAAGUUUUCUUUUGGUCUCUGGCAAGAUGGUACCUUGAUAUUUCAUUUUAUUUGCUUACUCUGAGGCUCUGAGCACGACUAAGAUAGAGAAACUCUCUUUACAAUUCACAUUUUACAUUUUUGCUGUUUCCUUACAGAUUGAGAGGAAAACGUAUAUUGCUUCUUUGUUUGUUAUCGUGGUGAAAUUAAUUGUGUUGUUUUCACUCUCCUGUAGUUUACAUUUACACUCU